GAUGAACGCUGGCGGCGUGCCUAAUACAUGCAAGUCGAGCGAACGGACGAGAAGCUUGCUUCUCUGAUGUUAGCGGCGGACGGGUGAGUAACACGUGGAUAACCUACCUAUAAGACUGGGAUAACUUCGGGAAACCGGAGCUAAUACCGGAUAAUAUUUUGAACCGCAUGGUUCAAAAGUGAAAGACGGUCUUGCUGUCACUUAUAGAUGGAUCCGCGCUGCAUUAGCUAGUUGGUAAGGUAACGGCUUACCAAGGCAACGAUGCAUAGCCGACCUGAGAGGGUGAUCGGCCACACUGGAACUGAGACACGGUCCAGACUCCUACGGGAGGCAGCAGUAGGGAAUCUUCCGCAAUGGGCGAAAGCCUGACGGAGCAACGCCGCGUGAGUGAUGAAGGUCUUCGGAUCGUAAAACUCUGUUAUUAGGGAAGAACAUAUGUGUAAGUAACUGUGCACAUCUUGACGGUACCUAAUCAGAAAGCCACGGCUAACUACGUGCCAGCAGCCGCGGUAAUACGUAGGUGGCAAGCGUUAUCCGGAAUUAUUGGGCGUAAAGCGCGCGUAGGCGGUUUUUUAAGUCUGAUGUGAAAGCCCACGGCUCAACCGUGGAGGGUCAUUGGAAACUGGAAAACUUGAGUGCAGAAGAGGAAAGUGGAAUUCCAUGUGUAGCGGUGAAAUGCGCAGAGAUAUGGAGGAACACCAGUGGCGAAGGCGACUUUCUGGUCUGUAACUGACGCUGAUGUGCGAAAGCGUGGGGAUCAAACAGGAUUAGAUACCCUGGUAGUCCACGCCGUAAACGAUGAGUGCUAAGUGUUAGGGGGUUUCCGCCCCUUAGUGCUGCAGCUAACGCAUUAAGCACUCCGCCUGGGGAGUACGACCGCAAGGUUGAAACUCAAAGGAAUUGACGGGGACCCGCACAAGCGGUGGAGCAUGUGGUUUAAUUCGAAGCAACGCGAAGAACCUUACCAAAUCUUGACAUCCUUUGACAACUCUAGAGAUAGAGCUUUCCCCUUCGGGGGACAAAGUGACAGGUGGUGCAUGGUUGUCGUCAGCUCGUGUCGUGAGAUGUUGGGUUAAGUCCCGCAACGAGCGCAACCCUUAAGCUUAGUUGCCAUCAUUAAGUUGGGCACUCUAAGUUGACUGCCGGUGACAAACCGGAGGAAGGUGGGGAUGACGUCAAAUCAUCAUGCCCCUUAUGAUUUGGGCUACACACGUGCUACAAUGGACAAUACAAAGGGCAGCGAAACCGCGAGGUCAAGCAAAUCCCAUAAAGUUGUUCUCAAUUCGGAUUGUAGUCUGCAACUCGACUACAUGAAGCUGGAAUCGCUAGUAAUCGUAGAUCAGCAUGCUACGGUGAAUACGUUCCCGGGUCU
rnacentral:rRNA from 1 species